GACGAACGCUGGCGGCGUGCCUAAUACAUGCAAGUCGAGCGGACAGAUGGGAGCUUGCUCCCUGAUGUUAGCGGCGGACGGGUGAGUAACACGUGGGUAACCUGCCUGUAAGACUGGGAUAACUCCGGGAAACCGGGGCUAAUACCGGAUGGUUGUUUGAACCGCAUGGUUCAAACAUAAAAGGUGGCUUCGGCUACCACUUACAGAUGGACCCGCGGCGCAUUAGCUAGUUGGUGAGGUAACGGCUCACCAAGGCAACGAUGCGUAGCCGACCUGAGAGGGUGAUCGGCCACACUGGGACUGAGACACGGCCCAGACUCCUACGGAAGGCAGCAGUAGGGAAUCUUCCGCAAUGGACGAAAGUCUGACGGAGCAACGCCGCGUGAGUGAUGAAGGUUUUCGGAUCGUAAAGCUCUGUUGUUAGGGAAGAACAAGUACCGUUCGAAUAGG
rnacentral:rRNA from 1 species